rnacentral:lncRNA from 1 species
AAGCAAUGUUCUCCUGAGGUUGAAGCAGAUGUGUGUGGCUCUCCUCCUGACUCUCUAUUUUGAGACUCUAAGUUGAGAGCACAAAGUGAAUGGCGAUUUUUACAGCCCAGAAUGCUAAGUACUGAAUGGCACAAUAUUACUAUGGAUUCUAGAAAAAAGAGGUACAAGGUGUUGUAACAUGAGAGCUGCAUUGACUAUCUGACCAUCAAUAAGUUGGUAGUGCUCAGAUGGUGUGUUAUUCUCAGUGUUAUGGAUCUUGCUCAUGUCUGACUCAUUUCUUCUGCAUUUUCACAGAAUCAUAGAACCAUUAUGGUUGGAACAGACCUCUAAGAUCAUCUAGUCUGACCAUCAACACAUCAUCAGAGAUUUGCAUUGCUCAUCCUUCUGGACUCCAAGGGAAACAUCCAGACUCUGUGAACUGAGGAUGACAGAAAGCUGAUGCCAGUGAAAGUGAAGUCUGAAGAAAUCAAACUUCUCUUUGAUGUUCUAUUUUGGCUACUGCCCUUAGAAGCCUCAGAAGAACCAGAACACCCUACUGGGAUCAUUCUUACUUGCCCUCAAUGCGAUGUCAAAAUUUUUGAGGGGAAGGCACAACUUUCUUUUUAGUAGACCUUGUUGCAUUUUUCUGGCAUCCAUUUCUUUCGUUGUUCUUUGAACCCAGUUAAGCGUUCUAGUAUCAGAAAGCAAUCUGGACAAAGUGUUUACUGGAUUCUAA